UAUUGGUUUGGCUAAAAAGUUCAUUCGGAUUUUUCCAUGCCCUCUUACAGAAAAACCCAAAUGAAUUUUUUGGCCAACCCAAU
rnacentral:miRNA from 1 species